rnacentral:rRNA from 1 species
UGUGUAGGCGGUGUUCUAAGUCUGUUGUGAAAUCUCCCGGCUCAACUGGGAGGGUGCGGCGGAGACUGGAAUGCUAGAGUAUGGGAGAGGUAAGCGGAAUUCCUGGUGUAGUGGUGAAAUGCGUAGAUAUCAGGAGGAACACCCGUGGUGUAGACAGCUUACUGGACCAUGACUGACGCUGAGACACGAAAGCGUGGGUAGCAAACAGGAUUAGAUACCCUGGUAGUCCACGCCCUAAACGAUGCAUACUUGGUGUGAGCCAUUCAUUUGGUUCGUGCCGGAGCUAACGCGUUAAGUAUGCCGCCUGGGGAGUACGGUCGCAAGGCUGAA